GGGGGUACAGCUCAGUGGCACAGCGCCUGCCUGGCAAGUAUGGGGUUGUAAGUUCAAUUCCUGGUACCCCCC
rnacentral:tRNA from 1 species